GAUGAACGCUGGCGGCGUGCCUAAUACAUGCAAGUCGAGCGAACGGACGAGAAGCUUGCUUCUCUGAUGUUAGCGGCGGACGGGUGAGUAACACGUGGAUAACCUACCUAUAAGACUGGGAUAACUUCGGGAAACCGGAGCUAAUACCGGAUAAUAUUUUGAACCGCAUGGUUCAAAAGUGAAAGACGGUCUUGCUGUCACUUAUAGAUGGAUCCGCGCUGCAUUAGCUAGUUGGUAAGGUAACGGCUUACCAAGGCAACGAUGCAUAGCCGACCUGAGAGGGUGAUCGGCCACACUGGAACUGAGAAACGGUCCAGACUCCUACGGAAGGCAGCAGUAGGGAAUCUUCCGAAAUGGGCGAAAGCCUGACGGAGCAACGCCGCGUGAGUGAUGAAGGUCUUCGGAUCGUAAAACUCUGUUAUUAGGGAAGAACAUAUGUGUAAGUAACUGUGCACAUCUUGACGGUACCUAAUCAGAAAGCCACGGCUAACUACGU
rnacentral:rRNA from 1 species